rnacentral:lncRNA from 1 species
CUCGAACUCCUGGCCUCAAGCAGUCCUCCCACCUCUGCCUCCCAAAGUGCUGGGAUUGCAGGCAUGAGCCACAUGCUCGGCCUCAGCUCCCUCUUGAACACCAACAAUUCCUAGAUUUGGUCUUUUGAAUUACUUUUGUAGAUCUUAGAUUUGGUGUUUUGAGUUACUUUUGUAGAUCUUGUUGGCGGUCUUCAUUCCUUUCAGUUAUUUUUUUCCUUUUUUUCCCUCUGGCUGUAUUUUCAAAUAGCCAGUCUUCAAGCUCACUGAUACUUUCCUCUGUUUGGUUCCCUCUGCUGUUGAGAGUCUAUCGAGUUCAUCAGCAAAUGAACUUCAGCGAUUCAGCAAAUGAACUUCUCAGUUUCAAGAUUUGCUUGAUUUUUAAAAUUACUUUAAUAUUUUGUUAACUUUGAUAAGUUUCUGAAAUGCGCUUGUGUGCUAUCUCGGAGAUCACUGAGUUUCCUUAAAACUGCUAUUUUGAAUUCUUGGUCAGGGAGCUCACCAAUCGCCAUGUCGUUAGGCCCAGUCACUGGAUUUUUGCUUUGUCCUUUUGCGUAGGUCAUGGUCUCCUGCUUGCUGGUGUUUUUGUGGGUAUACGCCUGUGUCUUUGCAAUGAAGGAUUAUUUAUUCCAGUUUUCUCUGUCUGGCUUGUUUGGGUUUCUGUGGGACAUCCUUGCCUAGCGAAGCUUCGCGGCCAGGUCGCUUCCUCUUUUUUGGCUCUAGGUGGCGCCCUAAGCCCAGGUUCGCCUCGUCUCCAAUAAAAGGUGGGAGCACGGCCUGUCCCAAACAGGGGAGGUUUCAAAAGGGUUAUCCUGGCAGUGUGGGAAGGCUGGCUAGGGGUUUGCGCACAGGGCAUCAGAGGAACGUACCUUCUACAGCAUGGUGCUGCGGAACAGCCGCUCCAAUGCGGCGUCUCCUUUGGCCGAGUUACAGGGCAGAGUUUCCGGGCUGGGGUUGGCCCUCGCCUCCCUUUGUCUCCGACUGUGCUCAGGGAUGCCGCUCCCUUCAGUCACAGCCACACCUACUGCGAUCUGGAAGCUGGGAAGCCCACAAUCAAGUCACCAGCAGACUUGGCAUCUGGUGAAGGAUUACUCUCUGGUUCAUAGGUGGCUUCUGUGCUCUGUGUCCUCACACAGUGGAAGGAGGGGCACACCUUUCAGGCCUAGCCCUCGGCCUGGAUGAAGGUGUGGCUGAGCAUCCCUGUUCCUGGAACUUGGCAUCAGCAUCACUGACAUCGGAAGCACAUGGACCCCCUCCCACUUCAACAAGCAUCAAACCCAUCUCUUCUCCUUGCUCUGGCCAGGUCAGACUGGAGCCAACUGUGCUGCAGCUCCUGUGGAAGCCUUGGCAGGGAGGUGAGGGGGAGCACCAGUUACAAGCAAAGGCUCCGAGUGCAAAGAGCCUUCGCUUAUGAUUCAGGAAUCUCUGGGCAAGUUACCUAAGGUAUCUGAGCCAGCAGUUCGUCAUCUGUGGAAUGGGGAGAAUGGCAACACUUCUCAUAGGGUUGAAGUAGGGAAUAAAAUGAUAUAAUGUGUAUUAAACCCUUAGAAAAGGGGCUGGCCUGGCAUAUAGUAAGCGCUUAAUAAAUGUCAUCUGUUGUCAUCAUCAUCUAACUUAAAAGAGUUUAGCGACAGUGUUCUUGAAUCUGCCCUUGUUUACAUACUACGGGUCACUUGUUUGGGAGUGGGAGAGGGAAUAAAAACUACUUUUAUUUAUAACUGUAAAUUGUGUGUAUGUAUUUUAUAUUUCAUAUAGGAAGUAAGUCAGGAAUAUGGGGCCUCUCUGAGCUAGGGCCAAGAUGUGGUGCAGCUGGGCAUACAAUCCAGCUGCCCCUCAGGAUGCUUUGCAGAGUCUACCCAGAUGCGCCAGGCUGCAGAAGCACCAUCAUCUGGUGUCCAUCUGCACAGCCAUAACUAGGGAAGAGGCAGAGCUGAAGUAUAAUGGACAAUCCUUGGCAACUGGGAUUACUUAUUCACUCAUUAAACACUCCCAGUGUGUCCACAGUAUAUGGUUCUGGAACAAAAGCAAGUAAAUUCUGUUUUCAUGGAAGUCUCAGUCUCAUGAGUGAGAAGGAUUAAUACAGAAGAGAGCUAUGAUAAUAGAGACAUAUGGCCCUGGGCAGAAAGAGCAGAACUGAGGAGAAAUACCAAAUAUCUAACUCGGUAAUGGAAGUGGCUGGACUGGCACAGCUCACUUCUGGGGGCCUGGGGUUGGAAGGAGAAAUCUGUUUCUGCAUUUCCAAGAAUCCUGGGUCUUACCUACACACCUUCUGUGUCCAACCAGUGAUACAAAUGUUACUGGCUCAGAAAAGAUUGUUUAGGGAUGGGCUGGCCAUUCUUUCCUCUAAAUAUACUAAAUUCUAUUUUCUAUGUAAGUUAAGACCUCAUGAGUUUGCCCCUGCAAAAAAUACCUCCGUGACUUUGGCUUUCAGCAAUGGUUAACGUUGCAAACGGCUGUUUAAAGUAUGCUUCUUUCCUUUGUAAGACUACUGUUAUAAAUAUUGCAAACUAGGUUGUACAUGGCAACACAAAUAAUAAAUCCUUAAAAAAUACAGUUCCCACUGCAAUCUUCAACAGAACCACAGCUACAUCCCACCAAACAGUAGGAUGGCAGACAACCUGAAUCGCCUAUUAAUAUUAUUAUUAUUUUUUUAAUCUAGGGACUUAAUUAGCUGCUAGGAAUAGAACAGUAAAUCAGUUGUCUUUUAAUCCUGCUACAUCUCUUAUAAUAUUUUCUUUCAUUAGGUAAUGUAAAUAAUAUUCUCUGUUAUGUUUUCUUUUUGCUAUGCCUGCCAAGAAAGCUUGGGGCUAAAUUUAAGGCAUGAUAAUAGUCCUUUAACCAUGGGAGGUUUUGGUAUAUUUGCUUCCUUUUUAUUUUACUGG